rnacentral:misc_RNA from 1 species
GCAGCGGCGGUGGCGCUGCCUCAGCAUAGAUGUGUUGCACGCUUCUUUCCAUUUUGUGUGCUUGGUCGCUCUCGAGCUCGCCUCGAUCUGAUGCAGACGGCAGUGGUAGUGCGGGCCUGCCGUCGUGAUGGGCGCCGGGAAUUCAACGGGCCCGCUUUGGCUUGUCGGGGCCGUACCUUGGCACACGCCGAUCCCGGCUGUGGCAGAGCGUGGCGAAGUGCUGCAGCCCGUCUUUCCAUGCAAAGGCGCGCAUGUGGACUCGAUGGAAGGCGAGCUGCAGCGUUGCCUGGGCGUCUGCGGGCGUGAGAGAACGAAAGGGCAGCGAACAGCUGAACGGCGGAUCGGCGCACCGAGGCGACUGCGGCGUGGGGAUCGGCUGGGGCGUUUGUCUCUCUAGUGAAAAUGCGAAAGCCGCUCAGGUUAGCGCGGAUGUGGAGGCCCGCUUCCCUGAGGCGGCGCAGCAGGCGCGGGGGGCGAGCCCCGUGGGCCAUUCGUCUGCCUUUCAACAGCCGCCUGGAGGGCAUCUUGGGCUCCUUCCGGCUGUAGUGGAUAUUGCGCUGGCGUGUCUGCAGCCGCGCGCGACUGGCUCUUCCCCACCAGCCGCACUCGGAUUCUGCUGCGCUGCCCGACGCUGUGGAGGGAGGAGAGCCUCGGUGAUGGCGGCGGCUUUGUCGGCCACCGCAGGACUCGAGGUCUGAGGAUCGCUGCGGCUGCUGUGCCGGCGCACGAUGCUGCAGGGACAGGCAGAGGCAGCGCACGAGUCAGCAAGCGGGAGUGGCGGCGCAUGUCGUGCACGGCGUCUAUGUUGUCGACGCUGGCGCUCGUGGAGGCAAGCUGUUGCUACUGCGAGCAGUCUUCUCUGAUCGGCUACUGCAGUCCCCUCACACGGGCACGCACGCCGCCGUGACGGCACCCCACAUGCAGAAGGUCGUGCGUGUCCGUGUGCGGAGGGCACUGGGAUGCCAUGCCCGGGCUCCUGCGGAAUGCUGGCAGCGGCUAUCCACAGGAGCGUGUCGGCAAGCUCGUUGCCGCGCACAUGCCGCCGCUGACCUCGGAUGCGCUGGAAGGGUCACUCCCCGCUGAGAAACGGUGCUCGAACUCGAGUACGCGCCGGUGGGCGUGUCUCAGCAGCGACCGCCAUCGACACGUGUGCGGGCCAGGCGGUGCCGGUGCGCAGCUCUUGUCGCCUGCACAGCGCACGCGCGGCCGCUGCAUCUGCUGGGAAUGAGUGUCCCUGUUCCGUGGUGUCCGUGGAUACAGCCCGUGCACGGCCGAGAGGUUGCCCCCCCCCCCCCCCCUCUCCCUCCCGGGAGCGUGUGCCCGGGGAGGGGCGCAAAGGCACACGGGGCGGAGAUGACGGCACGCGCUGCCUACGGGGGCCGCGUUGCGGCGUCGCCUGUGCACUCGGGCGUGGACGGCACCAGGGCGGCCGUGCUGGGCCCCCGAGCCGACGGAGUGGCUAGCAAUGCCCACCUGGGGCAGGCCGAUGAUGCUGUAAAGGCCACGACGCCUGCGCCGCGCACGGCGUUUGCGGAGAGGUGCAGAGAGAAGGCGCUCAGCGGAGGUGGCGCCACGAGCACAGACCUCGACCUGAGCGACGAGCACACGCUUGUGCUGCUGCGCCUAGGCGACGCCACGGUGGCUGGCUGUGCUGCGCCCGUUCACAGGAUCACUGGCGGGCGAUUCCGCUCUGCAUGCAGGCGCUGGCGAAUGUGGCGGAGACGCUGCGCGGCGCGGAGUCGGCCGAAGUGGUCAUGCCACGCAGCGCACUCGAGCGGAGCCUCUGGUGGCCGCUCGCGGCAAGGGAGACCCGCUCGGUUUCUUUUGGGCGGGCGGCCGCCGACCUCAGUUUUGCCGCUAAUCCCUCUGCGCGCGUCUCCUCGCCGUGAUGCGCAUGCUGUCCGACGGCAGCUCCCUCUUGCGUUGUCGCUCAGCGUCGCCGUCGGCCUGGGCACUGGCGCGCACGCUUGUCGUGUCGGCUUUUCGCUGCAUCGCCCUUGUGGUGUUCUCUUCUCGCUGCACUUUCCCGCACACCCUGCACGCGGCGCAGCGGCUGAGGGGUGCCAAGCGCAACAGCGGAAGGGGAGAGACAGCUGCGUCAGGCCCUUUUUGCUCUCAUCUUCUGCCUGCCCACCGAGGGGCUCGUGCCGCCUUGGUGGGCGCGACUUUGCGUGCGCUUCGUCCGCUUCGCGCCCCUCGCGUUGCUGUCCCCUCUUCUUCCCCUCUGCUCGUGCGUGCGCUGCUCUCUCGCGCCCUUUGCUUCCCUCCAUCUCAGGCUGGAUCGUCCGGGCCGGCGCACGCGCAUGAGCGUGUGCUCGACGGCGGGGCGACGCGCUGGAGCCGUGCAUGCCGCCGCUCUCCCCGGUGGCCCCUGCUCCCACGCACUGCGCGAUGCCCCCGUGCCUUUUGCUCUUGGACCUCCCGCGCGCACACGGAAAAGCCUGCCGACUGCUAUGCUUGGCUGCUCGCCUGCGGUCGGGCACCGUGACCUGGGAGCCUCUGCCUACUACCUCUGCAGCAUUACACUGUGCUGCGAAGCGGUCACGGCGUGUGGUGUGCCGGUGGCUUUGGCUGCGUGAUGUCGUAUCGGUGUGCUCCCCUUUUGCGGACCGUGCCGUGCCUGCCUCACCUUGCACGGGCUCGCCUCCGGCCACACUGAUUGAGGAGACUCUUUCCACCCGCACGACGCCGUUGGCUUCGAGGGCGGAAGAGGGGGAGCCUGUGCGGGAAUCGAGCUGCGCCUUUGCUUCUCCCCCUUCUUUGCUCCCUUGCGUGCGUGACG